rnacentral:rRNA from 1 species
UACAGAGGGGGCAAGCGUUGUUCGGAAUUACUGGGCGUAAAGGGCGCGUAGGCGGCCUUCUAAGUCGGACGUGAAAUCCCCAGGCUUAACUUGGGAACUGCGUCUGAUACUGGGAGGCUUGAGUGCGGGAGAGGGAUGUGGGAUUCCAGGUGUAGCGGUGAAAUGCGUAGAUAUCUGGAGGAACACCGGUGGCGAAGGCGGCAUCCUGGACCGACACUGACGCUGAGGCGCGAAAGCGUGGGGAGCAAACAGG